rnacentral:rRNA from 1 species
AACGAACGCUGGCGGCAGGCUUAACACAUGCAAGUCGAGCGAGAUCUUCGGAUCUAGCGGCGGACGGGUGAGUAACGCGUGGGAACGUGCCCUUUGCUACGGAAUAGUCCCGGGAAACUGGGUUUAAUACCGUAUACGCCCUUUGGGGGAAAGAUUUAUCGGCAAAGGAUCGGCCCGCGUUGGAUUAGGUAGUUGGUGGGGUAAUGGCCUACCAAGCCGACGAUCCAUAGCUGGUUUGAGAGGAUGAUCAGCCACACUGGGACUGAGACACGGCCCAG